rnacentral:tRNA from 1 species
CGGGAUGUAGCUCAGCCUGGUAGAGCGUUACGUUCGGGACGUAAAUGUCGCUGGUUCGAAUCCAGUCAUCCCGACCA